ensembl:snRNA U6 U6 spliceosomal RNA
GUGCUUGCUUCAGCAGCACAUAUAGUAAAAUUGGAACCAUACAGAGAAGAUUAGCCUGGCCCCUGUGUAAGGAUGACAUGCAAAUUUGUGAAGCAUUCCAUAUUUUU